GACGUAGGGCGCAAGCGUUGUCCGGAUUCAUUGGGUUUAAAGGGUGCGUAGGCGGAUUGAUAAGUCAGUGGUGAAAUCUCCGGGCUUAACCCGGAAACUGCCAUUGAUACUGUCGAUCUUGAAUAUGGUUGAUGUGGGCGGAAUAUGACAUGUAGCGGUGAAAUGCUUAGAUAUGUCAUAGAACACCGAUUGCGAAGGCAGCUCACAAAGCCAUUAUUGACGCUGAGGCACGAAAGUGCGGGGAUCAAACAGG
rnacentral:rRNA from 1 species